rnacentral:rRNA from 1 species
CAAGUACAAGAGUAACUGCUUGUACCUUGACGGUACCUAACCAGAAAGCCACGGCUAACUACGUGCCAGCAGCCGCGGUAAUACGUAGGUGGCAAGCGUUGUCCGGAAUUAUUGGGCGUAAAGCGCGCGCAGGCGGUCCUUUAAGUCUGAUGUGAAAGCCCACGGCUCAACCGUGGAGGGUCAUUGGAAACUGGGGGACAAGAAAUUACAUGGAGUUUUCCCCGGCCCCGGGGGGGAGAGAUUGUUGUUUCGGGAAUUGUGUGAGAGAGUCUGUGCUCCUUCAGACCAACCAAAGAGGAAGAGCCCUACCCUGCCUCCCCGCGGGGGU